UGAUUGACCGCUCCAUUGGCCUAGUGGUUAGAGCAUCAGCCUCGGAUGCGUGAGGUCGCGGGUUCGAAUCCCGACCGAGUCAU